rnacentral:rRNA from 1 species
GCUGGCGGCGUACUUAACACAUGCAAGUCGAACGAGUAAAAGAGGCUUCGGCUUCUGAGUAAAGUGGCGAACGGGUGCGUAACACGUAAGUAAUCUACCUCGGUCACUGGGAUAACUUCUCGAAAGGGGAGCUAAAACCAGAUAGGGUCCCCGAGGCGCAAGUCGCGGGGGGAAAGUGGGCCUCUAUAUUAUGCUCGCGGUCCGAGAUGAGCUUGCGGCCCAUUAGCUUGUUGGUAGGGUAAUGGCUUACCAAGGCUACGAUGGGUAGCUGGUCUGAGAGGAUGAUCAGCCACACUGGCACUGAGACACGGGCCAGACUCCUACGGGAGGCAGCAGUGGGGAAUUUUGCGCAAUGGGCGAAAGCCUGACGCAGUAACGCCGCGUGGAGGAUGAAGGCCUUCGGGUUGUAAACUCUUGUCAGGGGGAACGACGAGUGCAAGGCAAAUAGUCUUGCAUUUCA